GUGAGACAGUUCGGUCCCUAUCUGCCGUGGGCGCUGGAGAACUGAGGGGGGCUGCUCCUAGUACGAGAGGACCGGAGUGGACGCAUCACUGGUGUUCGGGUUGUCAUGCCAAUGGCACUGCCCGGUAGCUAAAUGCGGAAGAGAUAAGUGCUGAAAGCAUCUAAGCACGAAACUUGCCCCGAGAUGAGUUCUCCCUGACUCUUUAAGGGUCCUGAAGGAACGUUGAAGACGACGACGUUGAUAGGCCGGGUGUGUAAGCGCAGCGAUGCGUUGAGCUAACCGGUACUAAUGAACCGUGAGGCUUAACCUUACAACGCCGAAG
rnacentral:rRNA from 1 species